rnacentral:rRNA from 1 species
AAUGAACGCUGGCGGCAUGCCUAACACAUGCAAGUCGAACGAAGGCUUCGGCCUUAGUGGCGCACGGGUGCGUAACGCGUGGGAAUCUGCCCUCAGGUUCGGAAUAACAGCGAGAAAUUGCUGCUAAUACCGGAUGAUAUCGCGAGAUCAAGGAUUUAUCGCCUGAGGAUGAGCCCGCGUAGGAUUAGCUAGUUGGUGUGGUAAAGGCGCACCAAGGCGACGAUCCUUAGCUGGUCUGAGAGGAUGAUCAGCCACACUGGGACUGAGACACGGCCCAGACGCCUACGGGAGGCAGCAGUGGGGAAUAUUGGACAAUGGGCGAAAGCCUGAUCCAGCAAUGCCGCGUGAGUGAUGAAGGCCUUAGGGUUGUAAAGCUCUUUUACCCGGGAUGAUAAUGACAGUACCGGGAGAAUAAGCUCCGGCUAACUCCGUGCCAGCAGCCGCCGUAA